rnacentral:rRNA from 1 species
AUUGAACGCUGGCGGCAGGCUUAACACAUGCAAGUCGAGCGGGGUGUUGGUGCUUGCACUAUCACUUAGCGGCGGACGGGUGAGUAAUGCUUAGGAAUCUGCCUAUUAGUGGGGGACAACAUCUCGAAAGGGAUGCUAAUACCGCAUACGUCCUACGGGAGAAAGCAGGGGAUCUUUAUGACCUUGCGCUAAUAGAUGAGCCUAAGUCGGAUUAGCUAGUUGGUGGGGUAAAGGCCUACCAAGGCGACGAUCUGUAGCGGGUCUGAGAGGAUGGACCGGCAAACUGGGGCUGGGAAACGGCCCAGGAUCCGACGGGGGGCAGCAGGGGGGAAAAUUGGACAAUGGGGGGAACCCUGAUCCAGCCAUGGCGCGUGUGUGAAGAAGGCCUUAUGGUUGUAAAGCACUUUAAGCGAGGAGGAGGCUCUUUUGGUUAAUACCCAAGAUGAGUGGACGUUACUCGCAGAAUAAGCACCGGCUAACUCUGUGCCAGCCGCCGCUGUAA